rnacentral:ncRNA from 1 species
GAUUCUCUGGAGAGUCUCUACAUGGGCGCCGAAGGUGUACGCAGAAGAUGUGAUGCCGUUUACACAGCUUCUACAAUCUCUCAGGCAAAAGGACAGGGUUUUA